UACGUAGGGGGCAAGCGUUGUCCGGAUUUAUUGGGCGUAAAGAGCGCGUAGGCGGUUGGAUAGGUCCGCUGUGAAAACUCGAGGCUCAACCUCGAGACGCCGGUGGAAACCAUCCAGCUAGAGUCCGGAAGAGGAGAGUGGAAUUCCUGGUGUAGCGGUGAAAUGCGCAGAUAUCAGGAAGAACACCCGUGGCGAAGGCGGCUCUCUAGUACGGUACUGACGCUGAGACGCGAAAGCGUGGGGAGCGAACAGG
rnacentral:rRNA from 1 species